AGCGAACGCUGGCGGCAGGCCUAACACAUGCAAGUCGAACGAAGUCUUCGGACUUAGUGGCGGACGGGUGAGUAGCACGUGGGAACGUACCUUUUGGUUCGGAACAACUCAGGGAAACUUGAGCUAAUACCGGAUGAGCCCUUAGGGGGAAAGAUUUAUCGCCGAAAGAGCGGCCCGCGUUAGAUUAGCUAGUUGGUGAGGUAAAGGCUCAGCAAGGCUACGAUCUAUAGCUGGUAUGAGAGGAUGAUCAGCCACACUGGGACUGAGACAUGGGCCAGAACCCGACGGGAGGCAGCAGUGGGGUAUCUCGCGCAAUGGGCGAAAGCCUGACACAGCCAUGCCGCGUGAAUUAUGAAGGUCUUAGGAUUGUAAAAUUCUUCUACCAGGGACGAUAAUGACGGUACCUGGAGAAAAAGCCCCGGCUAACUUCGUGCCAGCCGCCGCUGUAACAC
rnacentral:rRNA from 1 species